rnacentral:misc_RNA from 1 species
GAUGAAGAACGCAGCGAAAUGCGAUAAGUAAUGCGAAUUGCAGAAUUCCAGUGAGUCAUCGAAUCUUUGAACGCACAUUGCGCCCGCCAGUAUUCUGGCGGGCAUGCCUGUUCGAGCGUCAUUUCAACCCUCAAGCCCUGCUUGGUGUUGGGGAUCGGCGUUGCCUCCUCCGUCGUUCGCGGCGGGGUGAGGUCGCCGCCCCCGAAAUGAAUUGGCGGUCUCGUCGCAGCUUUCCUUUGCGUAGUAACAUACCACCUCGCAACCAGGAGCGCGGCGCGGCCACUGCCGUAAAACGCCCAACUUUUUCAAGAGUUGACCUCGAAUCAGGUAGGAAUACCCGCUGAACUUAAGCAUAUCAAUAAGCGGAGGA